GCCGAAGUGGUGGAAUUGGCAGACGCAACGGACUCAAAAUCCGUCGGUAGUGAUACCAUGCGGGUUCGACUCCCGCCUCCGGCAC
rnacentral:tRNA from 1 species